AACGCACGAGACCUGCGGACCUGCGGAAGGAUCAUUACCGAGUUUACAACUCCCAAACCCAAUGUGAACGUUACCAAACUGUUGCCUCGGCGGGAUCUCUGCCCCGGGUGCGUCGCAGCCCCGGACCAAGGCGCCCGCCGGAGGACCAACCAAAACUCUUUUGUAUACCCCCUCGCGGGUUUUUUAUAUCUGAGCCAUCUCGGCGCCUCUCGUAGGCGUUUCGAAAAUGAAUCAAAACUU
rnacentral:misc_RNA from 1 species